rnacentral:rRNA from 1 species
CAAUAGCGUAUAUUAAAGUUGUUGCAGUUAAAAAGCUCGUAGUUGGAUUUCUGGUUGAAGCGACCGGUCGGGCGUUGAUUCUUCUGCACUGGAGUCGGUUUUGGCCAUCCUCUAGGAAAGUGCGUCUGGUAUUAAGUUAUCGGGCGUAUGAUCCUGGUCUUUUACUGUGAAAAAAUUAGAGUGUUUAAAGCAGGCCUUCGCCUUGAAUACAUUAGCAUGGAAUAAUAAGAUAGGACUUUGGUCUAUUUUGUUGGUUUGCAGACCGAAGUAAUGAUUAAUAGGGAUAGUUGGGGGUAUUUAUAUUCCGAUGUCAGAGGUGAAAUUCUUAGAUUUUCGGAAGAUAAACUUAUGCGAAAGCAUUUACCAAGGAUGUUUUCAUUAA